CUGCCACCCAACUGUCACCACCUGCAGUUACUGCCACAGCAUAAGCCGACUCUCUCUCUGGAAUCCAUACGCUUCUUGCUGACUGUCUUCCAGAAUAAGAAACAACUAAUGACAUUGGAAGGAUGACAUAUUGCACAAAGACAUUCUCAGAGACACUGCGAGUCCUCGUCUAACCUCCGGGCCUAACCUAAAGGAAAUUUCAAAGAAAAACACAUGGAGACAAGCGGCCAAAUCCAUGUCAAAGAAUCUCACGUUGCUUAGCAACCGCUCUACAAACAGUAUAACGCCGGAUAAUAUUCUGAAAUUAAUGUACAUGUAAAAUAUGUGAUACACGGACUUCAGAUACAGUAUGUAACCACAAUGAUAGCUGGAGGAAGUGUUACGUCAUAGGAGUGUACGCUCAGGAACAUUGCACGGGAAUGCCUGUGUGUCAGAUGUCAUGUCAAUUUUAAGGCGUUUCCUUGGCAACCAUGAUGCUGGUGAUAGGAAUCCUCUGUCUCCCUCCUAAGUUGAAACAGACACAAAGUGACCCCUCCUUUCCUAUAUGUUUUAUUUGUGUUAUGGGUGAAACCUUUCUUACUCAGAAGAUUUAUGCCGUCAUAAAUUGGUCUCAGUCUGCAAAGGUCACAUGGUAAUUAAUGACUGGGGUUGGACUUCCACUUCAUUCCCUUUGAUGAUUGAGGGGUCUGUUUAUAAAAGGAUCAAAAAUGCUUUUCUCCAGCUUUUUAGCUGGAGUUGGCCCAAAAUCUAGUUUCACCAUUCCAAAAUGUGUGGAGAAAUCUUGCUGCGCUUUGAAUUAAGCUGCGGCCCCUGUAGCUUGCAAUGCAAUGGGGGCCGCACAUGUCCGCAAUUUAUAGAAAAAUCAUUUGUUUCUCUGCUAUUUUGUUCAAAGUAUACAGUAAAGCAAUUUCUUCUUGCUUUCA